UACGUAGGGUGCGAGCGUUGUCCGGAAUUAUUGGGCGUAAAGAGCUCGUAGGCGGUCUGUCGCGUCUGCUGUGAAAACCUGGGGCUUAACCCCGGGCCUGCAGUGGGUACGGGCAGACUAGAGUGCGGUAGGGGAGACUGGAAUUCCUGGUGUAGCGGUGAAAUGCGCAGAUAUCAGGAGGAACACCGGUGGCGAAGGCGGGUCUCUGGGCAACAACUGACGCUGAGGAGCGAAAGCGUGGGGAGCGAACAGG
rnacentral:rRNA from 1 species